AGUAAUCCAAUCAUCAGAGGGGGGCGGAGCAGCUGGCUUAAAGCAACAGCCAAUGCCGAGAGCUCGUUUAUUCAUCUGUGAUAACCUGUUGAGGAAGAAUCUUAUAAUAAACUGUAACUCACGGCUCUGACUUUCCCGCAGACAGUUGGAUUAAUAGAAAUGUUUGGUCAUGAUUGAGGUUGACGCACACAAAUGCAACAGAGCGGCCGUGUGAAACUGCAGUGAUGCUGCGAGAAUCUCUUUCACCCUGUUUUGUGUUUGUGAGUCAUCUUAGCCGCUCUGGAGUCACGUCAGGACACGGGAUUUUGUCCGGCGUGCCGAGUAAAAGCCUUGGGUGUGCUCAGCGUGCAGCCGUGCAACCUUGACACGCAUAACACCAGGUCAAGCAGCCCGCGGCUUCAUUCUGGCCAGCCGUAUGGCCGACGUUAAUUCCACCGUAAUCCACGCGGCUUGGCCUAGAGGAAAGGAAAAGAAAAUAAAGCGCAGGCGGAGGUCACGUCCGGGAUCGGCAGAGGAAAUAAGCAGAUUUUCUCAGCGCAUUAACACCGUCAGAAAUCCCAGCGUGCUGGUGUGCAACAUGUUGCAGCAUAACGUCUCCCGGGAUUCUCCACCUCCACAGGAUUCCCGACCGGCUGCUGCAGGAAAUGCGUCAGAGUUAUGCAAAGUAACCUCUGGCCGUGUGGGAGGAGAGCAUCAUACAGCUGCCAGCUUUGAGUCUUGAUUAUGGGCAUCAAGCUGUUUCCAUUAGAAGCACUGACAGAACAGAUGAAUGCCGUUUCUGUGAAUAGAUGCUAGAGAGCUCCCGCAGGACGAGCGCUAACAUCACACACUGCAAAUGUAGGACUUUACAUAACUGAGAACAUCUCCUGAUUCGCUGAACUAGAAACUGCUGAAUGUCUGCGGCAUAUCGAGGUCUGCAGAACUGACUUCAGGGUUCAUUUCAC